GCGUUCGUAGCUCAGUUGGUUAGAGCACCACCUUGACAUGGUGGGGGUCGUUGGUUCGAGUCCAAU
rnacentral:tRNA from 9 species